AUCAAGUUUGAUAGAUAUCCUGUUCAAUACUUAUAAUAAACAAUACUUAAUUUUAAAACAGAAUGGUAAUCAAUUUUGAAUAAAAACCAGGGCAAAUUAGGCUCAUUCCAUGAAACUUACAACCAACAUUGUUAAUAUUCAAUUUAAAACCAUACAUAAUGGCAUAAUUGUUAAACUUGGUUCACAUCCACCAUUACAAAAAACAACAAAACCAUAAAUCCCAUACAAACCAAACUGCUAAAAAAAGGCCCUAUACAUCCACCACAAACAUUGCCUAACCAACAGCUCUAUGAACGAUCACCACUGCGCUCCACUGUUACCAUAAUAUCUAACACUGGCGGGUAAUAAAUCACAAAGUGCACUUUAUCACCUUCUUUCAAUUCCGCUGCCCUUACAUAGUCAAACCAUUCUCCAUACAAAUAUGUUUCAUUUUUUUUGGCCUCUUCUUCACAUUGCACUCAUAUGGGUACCCGUUGUCCACAUCAUUGAGGGUAAUCUCUGACAUUCCAGCUAGCCCACAUUUCUCUACUAUUUCUGCAGGAAUAUGCUGCACUCAUUGACAUACAAUAUCAGUUACAUUACUUCUCUCUAUAACACCAGUGUUCCAACAACUAUAGACUUUGAACACUGCUUACCAUAACAUUUGAGCAAAACUUCUUUACAUCAAGAACUUCACGAGUCCAGUACGCUUCUUCGUACUCUUCCUGUAUAGGACUCAUUUCCCUGAAAUUAAGACCACAUUUACAGCACAAUGCCAAAUAAAGACCACAUUUACAGCACAAUGCCAAUGACCCUUUCUAUAGGGAAAUGCUAACGAGUGCCCCAGGGGCACUCUUUAAGCAUUCCAAAUAAAGAAAAUGUUCUUUAAAAAAGUUUACCAUUUCAAUUUUCGAUGCAUUAAUUAGACAUAUUUCCAAGAAAAACUUCCUUUUUUUAAGCUCUUAAAGAGUGCCCCUAGAGCACUCGAUGAUCCGAUUGUUGACCACUUGUGUUUCGGUGAAAGAUAAGUAACUCAUUCCUAAUGCUUAUGAUUUAACAGAAAUUCUCUUAUGAUGCAUUGUGAUAACACAUCACAUAAUUUUGUAUAAAGUUUUCCUAUCAAAAGGGGAAUUACUUAUUGAAAUGCUGGUAUGCGUGUUGUGUUGGUGGCAUCAUGUGCUUUUAUACAAUGACAACAAUAAUGUAUAUAAAAAUCAUGAUGAAACAAUAAUCAUACGCAACAUGUACACCUAGACUACAAUAACAUUUCACCUUCACUCAUAAUACACAGAUGCACGGAUUCUCAUAUUACAUUCGCGGUACGUAAAAGCAAUUACGUGAAUGCGCAUCACACACCAUUGGAAAUUCAAUAUAAUGUAAAUUUAUGAGGAUUAAGUGUGGUAUUAAAGCACCUGUGUCGGUUUAUUUCUAUUUGCGGUGUCUGUUAUCAAUUAUCAAUCUACUACAUUAUUGUUCCGAGUUUUCUAAUAUAAAGAAAUUGAAUGCAACAACAUUGUUGUUCGAGGCAUCACGAUUCUUGCUCCUGUGAAUUCGCCAAAUACCGAUGGGAUCAACCCUGACUCCUGCACGAAGACACAGAUUGAGGCUACUUCCUUUUGGUUAGAUAACAACAAAAUAAGUUGGAGACUGGAUUCGGCUCUUAAGGAUGGAAAGCAAGCAAAAACAGACUGACAAUGCUGGCGAUGGAGCAAAUACCAAUCACGGGAUAGAAUCACUUACAAGUGCUAAUGAUGAAUAUGGCAUACAUGAAGUAUUGACUAACUAUCAUGACAAAGCUGUGAAUAAUUCUGAGGAUGGAGCUUUGAAUAAUCAAGAGGUCUUUGAUAAUGGGAAGUCAACAGAAUUUCAGGCUUCAUUGUUGAAUUCUGUUUUGUAAUAUACAUAUUUUGAUGGCAAAUACUAAUGCACUUAAUGAAAUUUCAGGCUUCAUUGUUGUUUGUUUACCUCGCUGUUGGGACUGGAAUCGUAACGUUCCUAUAGGUAUGUGUUGGAUGGUGACAGGAGAAAGACAAGCUGCGAGGAUUCGUAGUUUGUACUUGAAAACAAUAUUGAAAUAGGAUAUUGCGUUUUUCGACACUGAAACAAACACAGGAGAAGUAAUUGGUAGAACGUUUGGUGAAACAAUUCUCAUUCAACAUGCAACGGGAGAAAAGGUUGGCAAGUUUGAAUGUUGGUGGAAUUUUCCCUAUGGUUGUAUGCUGCAGCUUCAGAAUGUGUAAGCAUUGAACUGCAUCUUGACCAGGUUUUGAUUUUAUCUGACUUGGAAGCUGAUUAUAUCAACCCAUUUGAUGCUUCAUCUCGGAUUAACUACUUCAUUCUUCCAAAGUUUAUUGGAUAAUGAAUUUUAUGUGCACUAUGUCUCUUCACUGGCCACUGGCUCAUGUUUUUGCUCAAUCUGCCUCUUACUUGCUAUCAUGCCAUGCUAUGUAGAGGAAGAAGGAAGAAGAAUAAAGAGAAGAAAGAAGAAGGAGAGAGAGGACGCGGAAGAGAGAAGAAUGGAAGAGGAAGAGAGAGGUUAAGGAAUUGUAGAUUAAUGACGGAGGAACCGUUUUUGAAUUUGGAGAUGGUUAUAUAUUUUGAACAGGCUUCUGGAAAGGUAUAAUUUUUUAGCUUCUUGAAACAAAUCAUGUAUAUUUUUGAACUUUGUCUUUCAGCGUUUAGCAAAGAUCAUUUACUUAGAGGUUACCUUGAUUUCAAUUUUCUAUUGUCUUGGUCAUGUUCACACAAUUUGUUUACUUUAUUAUAGACUAAUGGAGAGUUCAUUAAUUGCAUCUUAUACUUACUUUGGUCCUCUUGGAUUUUAGUUACUUUAUCUACUAAUUCAGCCAUUCAGAUAAGCAAGACAGUUGAUGGAGAUAGUAUCCUACAUAAUGAUGGUAAAGGUAAGAAAUUUCAAACAAUACUUGGUGAAGACACACGAUGGGAAAUUAAAUGGGAGGAACUUCGUAUCGGGGAGCGUAUUUGUAUUGUUCGAGAUUAUGGUUUACCUCAAAGGGAAAGUUGUCACAUGAUCAGGCCUUGCAUAAAUACUGCAUAUCUUUGAAAGUGUUGAGUUUACGUAAAAAUUCGUAUAUCAAACAAUAUGUGCGUGGUUUGCAUUACAAGUAUGUGGCUGCAUACUUCUGAUAUAAUAUUUCUUCAAGUGAUUAUGAUUCCUCAUUGUGAAAGGGUAUAAAGAUGCGUGCCUUGAGUUUGGACCACGGGUUAGUAUCAUGGUCCCUUUGAUUUUACGAAAAAGGGAGCCUCAUGAGGUCGAGUUCAUUCAGGAAGUCUAGGAGGUAGUUCAAGCCCAUGAGAGAGUCAUCGGGAAAAAUGCUCAAUGAGUUUCUUUCAAAUGUGUUCCUCUCUACCUGGCUGUUAAUGUAAAAGAAGUUUUAACAAUGUGAGUCUUUUUGAGAGUGAAGGUUGUGAGGAUGUACUUAUUCAGCUUAUAUCCCUUGAUAUCGGUGCACUUAUUGCCAGAGCAAAAUACCUGGGAGAAUUCGAAGAUAGGAUGAAAGCCGUUCUUAACGGGUAUCCUUAAAAGAGCUCAAUAUGUUUUCAAUAUGGUUUAGAACGCAAACCUUCUGAUGUGCAGAAGUAUGUAAAGGUGUUUAUGGAAGUUGACACCGACAGGGAUGGGAAAAUCACCAGGGAGCAGGCACGCAGUCUAUUUUUAAGUUGGAGAUUACCGAUAGUUUCCUUGAUGUUAUUAAGGAGCAGCAGAUCAGUAGGGGUUAUUUGCUUGUGAACUUUAUGAAUUAAUAAUGGCAUAGAGUCUUAAUGGAUUGACAGUUGGAUUCUCACUUCCUGAUAAUCUAAUGGAAUCUCCGGCAAGGUCUGAAAGUGUAUUCUCUCUCAGGUAUUGGAGUGGCGCAGUUAAGAAAAGGGUCCUAUGAACUAAAGGAUGUUGCUCUACAAAAUGCAAUUUGUAAAGGGGUUGAAGUCGACAAUGACCUGAAAAAGUUAUACGGUGGCAAAGGGAGAAGUCGACGUAAUAGACAAACAAGAUGGUCAAAGUGUAUCUGUCGACCAUGUUGAGAAUUGAGACUUACACAAAAAUCUAUUGAAGAGUAAUUCAAUAUUCAGAAGUUGUUGUUAAUCAGAAGAAGAUGCUUCUGAUGUUCUGGUGUUGUUCAGAAGCAGUAGAGCUUCUGAGGUUAUUAAUCAGAAGCAGAUGCUUCUGAUGUUCUGGAGUUGAGUUUGUUAGUGUAGCUGUUAAGUUUAGUUAGUAAGAGUACUUUAGUAUUUUCUAGUAUUGUACUGUUUGUACCUUAAACUUGUUCACUAAGUUUAGUGAAUUAGGGCUUAGGAGGCAAUUUUUUUUCUUUUGUAUAAAUAGCCUUGUAGUAGCUAUCAUUUAUUAACAAUGCAAGUAGAAUAUACAUCUUUAUUCUCUCA